rnacentral:tRNA from 1 species
GUGUCCUUAGCUUAAUAGGAUAGAGCAACGGCCUUCUAAGCCGUAGGUUACAGGUUCAAAUCCUGUAGGACACG